GUUCACAGAAGAGAGAAAUUGAGAGACUGAGGCUUAAAGCUUUGGAGGAACAAGGAAGCUACAGUUUAAUACUACAAUUGUCUUAUGAAUUUCCAUCCUGUAUUAACAGUGGUAACUUGUGUGCUCUGUUGUAAGGUACUGAAAGGGUGGAUUUGCGGAUGAGAAAUUCAAAUUGAACUUCAUGUUCAGAUGUGAUAGUUACUUGAUCCGUGCCGCUCUGUAUAUCAUUGGCCUUUUCAUCUGGAAGGAAAGAGACAGGGAUCCAGUGCCUGCAUGAGGACUGCAACUCCCAAAUUCCGAGGCAGGGACCACACGUCUGUGGAGAAACCUGGCACUGCACAAGUACAGAAUGUGGGGUGCUAGAUGGUGAAGAUUUGCAGACUGAACCUCAAAAUCAUGUGCAGAUUGUGAUUAAGUUAAACAACAUUUGAAGAACCAAAGAUAGAGAAUCACUCGGCCAAAAUCCUGCAACACUCUCCCUCCCAGCAUUGUCGGUCUAUCUGC